GCCUUUGUGGUGUAACGGUAGCACACUCGGUUCAUAUUCGAGAGGUCUAGGUUCAAGUCCGGCGAGGGCA
rnacentral:tRNA from 1 species